CCUACGUGAGGCAGCAGUGAGGAAUAUUGGUCAAUGGCCGGAAGGCUGAACCAGCCAUGCCGCGUGAAGGUCAGUGCCCUAUGGGCGUUAAACUUCUUUUGUGCGGGAGCAAUAAUGGUCACGUGUGGCCAGACGAGAGUACCGUACGAAUAAGCAUCGGCUAACUCAGUGCCAGCAGCCGCGGUAAUACGGGGGGUGCAAGCGUUAUCCGGAUUUAUUGGGUUUAAAGGGUGCGUAGGCUGGGAGGUAAGUCAGCGUGGAAAUGCCCCGGCUCAACGGGGGGAAGUGCCAUUGAUACUGCCUGGCUGGAGUGCGGAUGCCGGGGGUGGAAUGUGUGGUGUAGCGGUGAAAUGCGUAGAGAUCACACAGAACACCGAUUGCGAAGGCAGCUCACGGAUCCGCGAUUGACGCUGAUGCACGAAAGCGUGGGUAGCAAACAGGAUUAGAUACCCGGGUAGUC
rnacentral:rRNA from 1 species